rnacentral:rRNA from 1 species
CCUACGGGCGGCAGCAGUGAGGAAUAUUGGUCAAUGGACGAGAGUCUGAACCAGCCAAGUAGCGUGAAGGAUGACUGCCCUAUGGGUUGUAAACUUCUUUUAUAUGGGAAUAAAAUGUUCCACGUGUGGGAUUUUGUAUGUACCAUAUGAAUAAGGAUCGGCUAACUCCGUGCCAGCAGCCGCGGUAAUACGGAGGAUCCGAGCGUUAUCCGGAUUUAUUGGGUUUAAAGGGAGCGUAGGUGGAUUGUUAAGUCAGUUGUGAAAGUUUGCGGCUCAACCGUAAAAUUGCAGUUGAAACUGGCAGUCUUGAGUACAGUAGAGGUGGGCGGAAUUCGUGGUGUAGCGGUGAAAUGCUUAGAUAUCACGAAGAACUCCGAUUGCGAAGGCAGUUCACUGGACGGCAACUGACACUGAGGCUCGAAAGUGUGGGUAUCAAACAGGAUUAGAUACCCCAGUAGUC